UAGGGAAUCUUCCGCAAUGGGCGAAAGCCUGACGGAGCAACGCCGCGUGAGUGAUGAAGGUCUUCGGAUCGUAAAACUCUGUUAUUAGGGAAGAACAUACGUGUAAGUAACUGUGCACAUCUUGACGGUACCUAAUCAGAAAGCCACGGCUAACUACGUGCCAGCAGCCGCGGUAAUACGUAGGUGGCAAGCGUUAUCCGGAAUUAUUGGGCGUAAAGCGCGCGUAGGCGGUUUUUUAAGUCUGAUGUGAAAGCCCACGGCUCAACCGUGGAGGGUCAUUGGAAACUGGAAAACUUGAGUGCAGAAGAGGAAAGUGGAAUUCCAUGUGUAGCGGUGAAAUGCGCAGAGAUAUGGAGGAACACCAGUGGCGAAGGCGACUUUCUGGUCUGUAACUGACGCUGAUGUGCGAAAGCGUGGGGAUCAAACA
rnacentral:rRNA from 1 species